rnacentral:rRNA from 1 species
AUAAUGGGUCAGCGACUUAUAUUCUGUAGCAAGGUUAACCGAAUAGGGGAGCCGAAGGGAAACCGAGUCUUAACUGGGCGUUAAGUUGCAGGGUAUAGACCCGAAACCCGGUGAUCUAGCCAUGGGCAGGUUGAAGGUUGGGUAACACUAACUGGAGGACCGAACCGACUAAUGUUGAAAAAUUAGCGGAUGACUUGUGGCUGGGGGUGAAAGGCCAAUCAAACCGGGAGAUAGCUGGUUCUCCCCGAAAGCUAUUUAGGUAGCGCCUCGUGAAUUCAUCUCCGGGGGUAGAGCACUGUUUCGGCAAGGGGGUCAUCCCGACUUACCAACCCGAUGCAAACUGCGAAUACCGGAGAAUGUUAUCACGGGAGACACACGGCGGGUGCUAACGUCCGUCGUGAAGAGGGAAACAACCCAGACCGCCAGCUAAGGUCCCAAAGUCAUGGUUAAGUGGGAAACGAUGUGGGAAGGCCCAGACAGCCAGGAUGUUGGCUUAGAAGCAGCCAUCAUUUAAAGAAAGCGUAAUAGCUCACUGGUCGAGUCGGCCUGCGCGGAAGAUGUAACGGGGCUAAACCAUGCACCGAAGCUGCGGCAGCGACGCUUAUGCGUUGUUGGGUAGGGGAGCGUUCUGUAAGCCUGCGAAGGUGUGCUGUGAGGCAUGCUGGAGGUAUCAGAAG